GGGGCUGAUUUGGCGUUCGACAGAAAGUAGAAGAUAAAGAUUGCAUACCAGUUUGAUUGAUACUGUAAAAUCAUCACAUAAAUUUAAACGCAAAUAAUAAAAAACUAGCUCCAGCUUACGCAAGAGCAGCGUAAGUUUAACAAUCCUUUUUGGAGCGGAGUGAUAUAGAUUCUAGCUAUAUAUUUACUCUUCAUUUUUGCUAGAUAGCUAUUGUAUUAGUUGCUUUGAUAAUACAUAGUGAAGUCUUUCAAAGUGGCUUAAUAUCAUCGAAGCUUGUGAUAUAAGCAAAUAUAAAGCUUCAUUUUUUAAGUAUGUCGAGGUUUUUAUUGGUCUAUUUUUUGGACUGGGGUUCAAUUCCCCACAGCUCCACCA
rnacentral:tmRNA from 1 species